UCUCUCGACCAUCUCACAACCAUUUCCUCCGCUCGCUCGAGCUCGCUGGUCGAUUCUCCUUUUCGCGCCUCCGCCGCCGCUGCAGGUUGAUUGAGAUGCUUUUGAGCAAAAGGUGUGGAACUUGUUGACGCAUUUCCCUCUUGUUAUCUACUUUGAGAGCGGGGGCUUUUCUUCUUCCAGAAGCGCCGAUCCUUCUCCUCAGACAGACUCGACCUAGCCACCUCGACCAUCUCCAUUGGACUCUCCUCGCACCGGGCGGCCAUUUUCUCAAGCUUUGCUGACGCUGCUUCUGAUGAGCCUAAAAUGGAUGCUGCCUCCUCCUCUUCCCGUUGUAAGCCUCGGCAAGCUGUUGAGAAGUGGACACCAAAGGCACCAUCUGCCUCCUCCUCUUCCCAUUGUAAGCCACGGCGAGCUGCCGAAAAUCGGACGCCAAAGGCGUUGUUUGCCUCUCCAGCUCCUUUUGAUGAUUCUCACCUCGCAUCGAUACAGGAUGCUGGGGCGGACAAAUCAUC